rnacentral:misc_RNA from 1 species
UCUUUUCUUUUGAUAAGAGAGUUUUUAAAACCAGUGUUAUUUAUGUAAGUUUAAGAGAAGUUUAUGUAUUAAAUUAUUGAUAUUAAAUAGGUUUAUUAGGCUUAGACUUAAUUUUAGGUCAUUUUGGGGGUUUAGCUCAGUUGGCUAGAGCAUCGGCUUUGCAAGCCGAGGGUCAAGGGUUCGAGUCCCUUAACCUCCAUUGGGCUUAUGCCCUAAAUUGUAAUUAAGUAUGUUUUUAAGUAACUUUGUUAAAGUAAUUGUUGGAAUGUGAAACGCAAGAAGUUAAAAUUUCUGGGUUAAGUUGAGAUCUGUUGAUAUUAAGAAAAAUGUCUAGAAGCAAAAGCAAGCUUUCGAUAAAACCCGAAGUUGUUUCGCUAAAGUGCAAGGAUUAAACAGGAUUGUAUUUUUCAGCAGCCUAUUUUAUAAACGAUCUGCAUUUAGUAAAUAGUUUUUAGUUAGGAAAUAAUGUAGAUUACUAAGUGUGAUGUCUGAGAGAAGGACAAGUAUUGUAGCGAGCUUAAAUCCUUAUUAUCGUUGCCAGUAUUUAGUGGUAGGGAUUCGGAUAAGAUUGCCAGUUAUAAGUUGGAGGAAGGCAAAGAUUGCAUUAAAUCGUUAUCGCUCUUAUGUUUUAGGUUACAAGUUUGCAACAAUAACUCAAAAAAGCUAAGCAAAAUACUAUAAAGCAGAUUUCAGUUUGGAUUUGCCCGACACUCAAUGGCAUGAAGUUGUAAUUGUUAGUAAUCGUGUAUACCUUAAUAUAGAAAUUG